GACGAACGCUGGCGGCGUGCUUAACACAUGCAAGUCGAGCGGAGCGGCGAACGGGUGAGUAACGCGUGAGUAACCUGCCCUUCAGAGGGGGACAACAGUUGGAAACGACUGCUAAUACCGCAUACUGAAGGAGGGGCUUGCGUCUGUUUAGCUAGUUGGAGGGGUAACGGCCUACCAAGGCGAUGAUCAGUAGCCUGUCUGAGAGGUUGAACGGCCACAUGGGGACUGGGACACGGCCCAGACUCCUACGGGAGGCAGCAGUGGGGAAUCUUCCGCAAUUGACGAAAGUCUGACGGAGCAACGCCGCGUGAGUGAUGACGGCCUUCGGGUUGUAAAGCUCUGUUAAUCGGGACGCGGUACCGGAAUAGAAAGCCACGGCUAACUACGUGCCAGCAGCCGCGGUAAUUC
rnacentral:rRNA from 1 species